rnacentral:rRNA from 1 species
AAUAGAUACCCGGGUAGUCCACGCCGUAAACGAUGAAUGCUAGCCGUUGGCGAGCUUGCUCGUCAGUGGCGCAGCUAACGCAAUAAGCAUUCCGCCUGGGGAGUACGGUCGCAAGAUUAAAACUCAAAGGAAUUGACGGGGGCCCGCGCAAGCGGUGGAGCAUGUGGUUCAAUUCGAAGCAACGCGAAGAACCUUACCAGCUCUUGACAUGCCUCGUAUGGUCGCUGGAGACAGCUUCCUUCCCGCAAGGGGCGAGAGCACAGGUGCUGCAUGGCUGUCGUCAGCUCGUGUCGUGAGAUGUUGGGUUAAGUCCCGCAACGAGCGCAACCCUCGCCCUUAGUUGCCAUCAUUUAGUUGGGCACUCUAAGGGGACUGCCGGUGAUAAGCCGGAGGAAGGUGGGGAUGACGUCAAGUCCUCAUGGCCCUUACGGGCUGGGCUACACACGUGCUACAAUGGCGGUGACAGAGGGAUGCAAAAGGGCAACCUUUCGCAAAUCCCAAAAAGCCGUCUCAGUUCGGU